AUGUCUUCCUCCACCUCCUCCUCCUCCCAGCCAAACCUCAGCGGUGGAGUCACGGAGAAACUCUCCCGCACCAACUACAUCCUCUGGCGGACCCAGAUCACGCCACAGCUACAGGGCGCCGGCGUCUACCACUACGUCGACGGUACGUUGACCGAGCCGGCCAAAACCCACGUCACCAAAGAUGCCGCUGGGAGAGAAACCGAGGGGCCGAAUCCUCUCCAUCCGCUCUGGGUGAAGGAGGAUCAGCAGGUCCUUGGAUAUCUACUCCAACACCUAUCCAAGGAGGUGCUCGUCACGGUGACCGCGAUCACCACGGCGCGGGAACUCUGGGUGGCGCUGGCGAGCAUGUUCUCGUCGCAGUCCCUCAGCUGCGUCAACAACAUUCGCACGGCGCCGAUCAACGCGCAGAAGGGCAACUAA
rnacentral:rRNA from 1 species